UACGUAAGUGGCGAGCGUUAUCUGGAAUUACUGGGCGUAAAGCGUGCGUAGGCGGUUUAGUGUGUGGGAUUUGAAAGUCCGGGGCUCAACUCCGGAUCUGCGGUGGGUACGGGCAGACUAGAGUGAUGUAGGGGAGACUGGAAUUCCUGGUGUAGCGGUGAAAUGCGCAGAUAUCAGGAGGAACACCGAUGGCGAAGGCAGGUCUCUGGGCAUUAACUGACGCUGAGGAGCGAAAGCCAGGGGAGCAAACGGG
rnacentral:rRNA from 1 species